rnacentral:rRNA from 1 species
GAUGAACGCUGGCGGCGUGCCUAAUACAUGCAAGUCGAGCGAACGGACGAGAAGCUUGCUUCUCUGAUGUUAGCGGCGGACGGGUGAGUAACACGUGGAUAACCUACCUAUAAGACUGGGAUAACUUCGGGAAACCGGAGCUAAUACCGGAUGAUAUUUUGAACCGCAUGGUUCAAAAGUGAAAGACGGUCUUGCUGUCACUUAUAGAUGGAUCCGCGCUGCAUUAGCUAGUUGGUAAGGUAACGGCUUACCAAGGCAACGAUGCAUAGCCGACCUGAGAGGGUGAUCGGCCACACUGGAACUGAGACACGGUACAGACUCCUACGGGAGGCAGCAGUAGGGAAUCUUCCGCAAUGGGCGAAAGCCUGACGGAGCAACGCCGCGUGAGUGAUGAAGGUCUUCGGAUCGUAAAACUCUGUUAUUAGGGAAGAACAUAUGUGUAAGUAACUGCGCACAUCUUGACGGUACCUAAUCAGAAAGCCACGGCUAACUACGUG